rnacentral:rRNA from 1 species
CUACGGGUCGCACCAGUGAGGAAUUUUGCGCAAUGGGGGAAACCCUGACGCAGCAACGCCGCGUGAGCGAAGAAGGCCUUCGGGUCGUAAAGCUCUGUCAAGUGGGAAAAAAAUUCUUUGAUGAACAGUCAAAGGACUUGAUGGUACCACUGGAGGAAGCACCGGCUAACUCCGUGCCAGCAGCCGCGGUAAUACGGAGGGUGCAAGCGUUGUUCGGAAUUACUGGGCGUAAAGAGCAUGUAGGCGGUUUGACAAGUCAGAUGUGAAAGCCCCGGGCUCAACCCGGGAAGUGCAUUUGAACUGUUUCACUAGAGUAUGGGAGAGGAGAUUGGAAUUCCUGGUGUAGAGGUGAAAUUCGUAGAUAUCAGGAGGAACACCCGUGGCGAAGGCGAUUCUCUGGACCAAUACUGACGCUGAGACGCGAAAGCGUGGGGAGCAAACAGGAUUAGAUACCCGAGUAGUC